rnacentral:tRNA from 1 species
GGUAGGUAUAGCUCAGUGGUAGAGCACAUGCUUAGCAUGCAUGAGGUCCUGGGUUCAAUCCCCAGUACCUCCA